rnacentral:rRNA from 1 species
GACGAACGCUGGCGGCGUGCUUAACACAUGCAAGUCGAACGAUGAAGAAGAGCUUGCUCUUCGGAUUAGUGGCGAACGGGUGAGUAACACGUGACUAACCUGCCCCUUUCUCUGGGAUAACGCUCCGAAAGGAGUGCUAAUACCGGAUACUCACAUCGAGGCACAUGCCUUGAUGUGGAAAGUUUUUCGGAAAGGGAUGGAGUCGCGGCCUAUCAGCUUGUUGGUGAGGUAACGGCUCACCAAGGCGACGACGGGUAGCCGGCCUGAGAGGGCGACCGGCCACACUGGGACUGAGACACGGCCCAGACUCCUACGGGAGGCAGCAGUGGGGAAUAUUGCACAAUGGGCGAAAGCCUGAUGCAGCGACGCCGCGUGAGGGAUGAAGGUCUUCGGAUUGUAAACCUCUUUCAGUAGGGACGAAGCGAAAGUGACGGUACCUAAAGAAGAAGCACCGGCUAACUACGUGCCAGCCGCCGUAAAAC